rnacentral:rRNA from 1 species
AUUGAACGCUGGCGGCAGGCUUAACACAUGCAAGUCGAGCGGGGUGAUGGUGCUUGCACUAUCACUUAGCGGCGGACGGGUGAGUAAUGCUUAGGAAUCUGCCUAUUAGUGGGGGACAACAUCUCGAAAGGGAUGCUAAUACCGCAUACGUCCUACGGGAGAAAGCAGGGGAUCACUUAUGACCUUGCGCUAAUAGAUGAGCCUAAGUCGGAUUAGCUAGUUGGUGGGGUAAAGGCCUACCAAGGCGACGAUCUGUAGCGGGUCUGAGAGGAUGAUCCGCCACACUGGGACUGAGACACGGCCCAGACUCCUACGGGAGGCAGCAGUGGGGAAUAUUGGACAAUGGGGGGAACCCUGAUCCAGCCAUGCCGCGUGUGUGAAGAAGGCCUUAUGGUUGUAAAGCACUUUAAGCGAGGAGGAGACUCUUUUGGUUAAUACCCAAGAUGAGUGGACGUUACUCGCAGAAUAAGCACCGGCUAACUCUGUGCCAGCAGCCGCCGUAA